rnacentral:lncRNA from 1 species
CUCAGUCCCCAAAGGCCUCUACUACACCCCAGACUCUUCCCUCUAAACCUCCAAAGACGAUGUCCCGGAUGCAAUUUCCCCCAGUUGUUAGAGUCUGCAGCUCAGGACAGCGGAUAAAAUUCCCACCCGAGGUCGGAAAUGGAGACCUCCAGACUUGCCUUCAGCCAGCUGAUCUGAGGCUAAAGUCCAGCAGCCAGUGCCUGGCAGGUCUCACACAUACAGUUAAACACGCGUGCUAAGGGCUGUCCUCAGUGAGCCUGAACUGACCAUGGGAGUGGUGGGAUGGGAAUCUUUGAUGGACAGCUCCUCCUUUAUGACAGAAAAAUCCCACACUGAUGCUC